rnacentral:rRNA from 1 species
AUUGAACGCUGGCGGCAGGCCUAACACAUGCAAGUCGAGCGAGCGGCGGACGGGUGAGUAAUGUCUGGGAAACUGCCUGAUGGAGGGGGAUAACUACUGGAAACGGUAGCUAAUACCGCAUACCAUCAGAUGUGCCCAGAUGGGAUUGGUAAGUAGGGGGGGUAAUGGCUCACCUAGGCGACGACCCCUCGCUGGUCCGAGGGGAGGACCAGCAAAACUGGAACUGGGACACGGCCCAGACUCCUACGGGAGGCAGCAGUGGGGAAUAUUGCACAAUGAGCGCAAGCCUGAUGCAGACAUGCCGCGGGUGUGAAGAAGGCCUUCGGGUUGUAAAGCACUUUCAGCGAGGAGACGUUCUCGCAGAAAAGCACCGGCUAACUCCGUGCCAGCAGCCGCGGUAAUAC